AAAAAACACGAAAACAAAAAAAAAACACGAAGAAGAGUCCCGCAAAACAAAUUCUUUCUAGCUUUGUCUUCCUUCUCCAUCUCUUUGUUCAUCGUAUUUGUUUUGAUUCUUCUCCAUAACCAUAGUUCCCAACUCAUGUGAUCUCAAAACCUACAUCUAAGAUAUAUAUUUCAGAAAGAAGAAAAAAAACAAGUUUCCUGUUGAACGAAGUUGAAUCUCCAUAACCCUAAUCACUUCUCCGUCUAUCUUCUUCUCGAUUCUCUCUUCUUUUUUUCUGAUUUACUAUUGAUUUAUUUUGUUUUUCUGUCGCAGCCGAUAUACUUUGAUAGGGAAUCUGAAAAAGGGAGUAAUUAUUUUGCCAUGCAAUUCUCAAAAGGAUCAGAUACGAUUCAUAAUUUGUUGGUAAAGCCUAACCCUAAUGUGUGUUGAUUUUAUUUUCGAGGUAAGUUAUUUUCUCAAAAAAGCAUCUAUUCCAGUUAUUUUAUCCGCCGCAUCCCUUCAUCUUCCUCGCUCUUUCUUAGUCCCCUCCCGGCUUCUACCUAUUUUUAAUCGUUCUGCUUUCUUUUUCUUUCUGCCAAUUGAGUUAUUUUCCUCUUCGUAUAUUGUGGUAUUGAUUCACUGUUUUAUUGAUUUGUUAACAGCUGCGAAACGAGAAUUCUCAACCAGGUACGAAUUUGCUUUUGAUUUUCUUUGUUUGUUUGUUUGAAUAAUGUAAAUUAUGCAAUGGACAGGAUUAGGGUCUUUAAUUGGGGUUAUUGGUCAAUAAUAUUAAGUUCAAAAAUAGCUUUAUGUACUGUGUAUUAUGCAGCUUCCAAUAGAACGGAGCCAAGGAAAAGUAUCUCCAUCAAGCAUUUUUUACUGUUUUUUUUUCCUGAUUUACUUUGCCUGUUUACCAUCUUAGAUUGAAUUGAACGUUGACUUGAGGUUUAUGCUGGCAACUAGGAGGAUCUUGGUAGGACUUCCUGUAAGUUUACACUUUCUGUAUGGGUGAUAGAAAUCAAGUCACCUGGAUAGUGUAUGUAGAUGUAGUGAUAUCUAUACUAUAGAUGUUUGCUAAAAAAUUUAGUCUUCGUGAUUGUUAUGUGCAAACUCUUUUGUGUAUAGUUAGUUAGUUUUGCUAAACAUAACGUUGUCAGGACUGAAUUAGGUCUCCUAGCAGGAUCAAGAUAUUUUUGCUUUGUAGGUACCUUGAAAGCGUACUAAUUUGUACUAAUGGCUGCGGGAAUGGGAGCGCAUAUGAUAAUAGAGAAUUGGGGUCCAUGUGCUAUUGGUUGCAGCAAUGAGGGAGCUGGCAAGAACUGAUUUGGAGCAAUGAUUGCUGCUACAAGUUGUGUUGUGUUUAGAGAGGCAAAUAUAAGGAACGUAGAUGAAGGUAUAUCAAAAUCUAUGUAAAUUUGGUAUGAACACUCAUUUUUGGUUCAACACAUAUUUUAACAUUUAUAUGAAACUCAAGACCACAAGCAUGUUUGGUAUCUCCACUACGUACGUAGCAUGUCAGAUGGUAGUACGACUAGCCAGGGGAUAUUGAUAAUGCUUUUUCAUGUGAGGUAUAGCCAAAUUCUAAGCUUCACUUAUGGUUAAUUUAUUAAGACUAAAAGUGGAAAACUGUUUAUUGGACCAAAAGUGAUUGGAUUUUUGUUUUUGCUGACCAAGGGAGAAAAAUUUAGUAAUCUAGUUGCUGACUGAGGGAGAAACACUUUCUCAUUCAUUCAUGCUCAACUCUCCCUGCUGCAGAGAAAAAAAACUGCUGCUCUUGACUGAACUUGGUUAGCAUUUGUACAUCUAAAGUUUGUUGCAUUGGAAAACAUAUUUCUUUAGAUGUAUUAAUGCUAAACCAAUUCAAGCUAGGAAAACUAAUAAAAUUCCAGUUUAUACUGCUGCUAAGCUAGCUUCAGCUUCAAGUAAAGGUAAUUAGUCAUAUGUUUUUUAUGUAGCAGUCAUCUCAAUGUUCAUCUAUAGUCUAUACCCAUAAUAAACAAAUUUUGGUUUGAUUUUCAUACUGAUUUAGCAAGUAAAAAUCGGUUCUGAACAGUGUGAUUGAGAGUUGAAGUACUUUUGUACUUGGUAUUGCUAUGUUUUUUUAAAGUAACAAUAUAGUGGUCUGCUUACACAAUCAAAAUAAACAUUUUUAGAGUAUCUCUUAGUGUCUUCCAAUGGCUAAAUUAGACAGGGAAUAUUUACCUAAACAUCGAGUUGAUUUCCAUUAUUUUCUUAGUUUUCAUUUCUGAGUAUGUGCAUCUUUCCACUGAAUGCAGUUGAAAGAUUUACUAUUACUUUAAAUAUUUACCUAAACAUCUUUCAACAAACAAUCAAUAUCAGCAUGUCUCUUUUCCUGUAAUUACUCCCUGAAUGGGUAAUUUAAUUGUAGUGGAAAUCUGAAAUUUACUUCCUUAAUCUAGCAAUCAUGUGCUCUUUAACUCUGUUAAUUAUUUUAUGGGUAUUAAGGUUUUGUAGCCUGUAGGUGUGUUUGCAUAUCAUGUACGAUUAGGCAUAGGCCUAAUUUAAAACUAAAUUGUUUUAUUGAUUGAUUCUUCGUUGCUUCUUAUGACAAUGCACUAGGUUGAGUAGUUGAGAUAAAAAUUUGGUCAUAUGUACUCUUUCCCUUUGCCUAAUUCUUGGCUUUCUUCAUACGUAAGGAGAGCAUUGUUUAGGAACAAACUGAUUGUCAUGACAUCUAAUGUGGUAUCUAGCGCUAUAUAUAGCAUAUUUCCAGUAGGCGCCAGAAAAAGAACGCCAUGCACUUAUUUCAAUUUAGAUUGUACUAAUAAAUUAAACGUCUGAAGUCUAAUGUAUUUCUCGAAUCUGCUCAACGCUAGCGACACUGUUUCUCAAAAUUAACCAUGAAAGAAUAGUGUUUGUGGGGUACAUAAAGCAAAGCCCCAACUUUUUUGGCGUACAUAAAAGGAAAACCCCAACUUCGACUUUUCUUUGGAUGGUGAAUCUGAGCCCGUGCAGAUUACAAAGAGGAUGUGGUGCAGAUUACAGAGAGGGUUCUUACUACGCUAAUAUAUGAACUACUUUGAGUACGUGCCCACAAUGUCAUUUUGGUUAUCGUUGAUGCAGCCAUAUUAUGGAAUGCCAAUGAAUCUAUUAAUCUCACUGAAAUGUCAUUCUAUGCAACUUUGCAUACCUUUUAUAUUGAUCUGUGUAUCGUAUGUAAGUACCACAAAGACGUGAUAAAUCUGGAAGAAGUUGAGAAGAGAAGGAAAAAGAAGGUUGGAAAUCAAGCUUACCUUAAUUCAAAUAUGUCCAUACUCACUCCAGUAAAGUGUACCCCAAGGGUGUUUACAAUUUAAUGUCGGUACGAGAAUAAAACUGUGAACAAAUCACUUUAGCUCUCAGUUCUUAUAUCAGUCGUGUUUAUGCAAUUGGCAGACAGGUACUCACUGGGCUUCACAAAAGGGACAAAGCCCUCUACAAUGGAUACAAGACUGAAUGCCAAAAGUAGUACAGAAAUCUUGAGACGUUUGAGAAAAGGUGUAAGACUAAGUUUGGAGCAGGAGAAUAGAAGAGUAGCAGAUGAAAAUGUGGUUUUAUGGACCAAGUUUAGUAAGUUGGUAAAUGUUAAUGGCAUUGCAUUUGCUUCUGGAAGCAUAACAUGUGGGUUUCCUAGCUUUUUUCAUAUUUUAUAGAUGAUGCGUCUACUUGCAGAACUUGCACACUAAAUGUCGGCAUCAGGGUUGUGCAAUGCAGUCUUUGGUGCGUUCUGAUUGUUCCUCUCAUGACACCUUUUUACGUCUUUGGAAACACUAGCGACGUUAAUUCUCAUAAUGAUUUAAUAGUAAGUUGUAUAGUCUCUUUGCCAUAAAUUACUGGCUAGGGUAUUCAUGCAGAGAGUGAAAGAUGCCCAUGUGCAAGAAAAGGAUCGACUUUUUUCAGUGAUGAAGGAAGACACCUUUUUGAAGCCAUAUCACAGCCAAUCAAACUUCAAUACAUUUAAGGAUAUUAAUUAUAGAAUCAUUAUGUAUACCGUAUACUUAAUCCCUAAGCUCUGAAAAUGUAUAUUUGGAGAGAGUAUAAUGUCUAAGUUCUUAUUAGUUUUAUUACUGUCUCUUUUAUGAUUCUUUUUUCUUUCACAUUUUAUU